rnacentral:rRNA from 1 species
AUUGAACGCUGGCGGCAGGCCUAACACAUGCAAGUCGAGCGGAUGAAGGGAGCUUGCUCCUGGAUUCAGCGGCGGACGGGUGAGUAAUGCCUAGGAAUCUGCCUGGUAGUGGGGGAUAACGUCCGGAAACGGGCGCUAAUACCGCAUACGUCCUGAGGGAGAAAGUGGGGGAUCUUCGGACCUCACGCUAUCAGAUGAGCCUAGGUCGGACUAGCUAGUUGGUGGGGUAAAGGCCUACCAAGGCGACGAUCCGUAACUGGUCUGAGAGGAUGAUCAGUCACACUGGAACUGAGACACGGUCCAGACUCCUACGGGAGGCAGCAGUGGGGAAUAUUGGACGAUGGGCGAAAGCCUGAUCCAGCCAUGCCGCGUGUGUGAAGAAGGUCUUCGGAUUGUAAAGCACUUUAAGUUGGGAGGAAGGGCAGUAAGUUAAUACCUUGCUGUUUUGACGUUACCAACAGAAUAAGCACCGGCUAACUUCGUG